rnacentral:ncRNA from 1 species
AUGCGCAUCACAGGGGUGCUCCGUAAUGCCGGGGCUGAGAUGCGGUCGACAAGAUUGCGGACCCUUUAGCUGAUCUGGAUAAUGCCAGCGGAGCGAGGUUGAGCGAUGUUUUC